UGCAAGUCGAGCGGUAAGGCCCUUCGGGGUACACGAGCGGCGAACGGGUGAGUACACGUGGGUGAUCUGCCUUGCACUUCGGGAUAAGCCUGGGAAACUGGGUCUAAUACCGGAUAUGACCAUGGAAUGCAUGUUCUGUGGUGGAAAGAUUUAUCGGUGCGAGAUGGGCCCGCGGCCUAUCAGCUUGUUGGUGAGGUAACGGCUCACCAAGGCGACGACGGGUAGCCGACCUGAGAGGGUGACCGGCCACACUGGGACUGAGACACGGCCCAGACUCCUACGGGAGGCAGCAGUGGGGAAUAUUGCACAAUGGGCGAAAGCCUGAUGCAGCGACGCCGCGUGCGGGAUGACGGCCUUCGGGUUGUAAACCGCUUUUGACAGGGACGAAGCGCAAGUGACUGUACCUGUAGAAUAAGGACCGGCCAACUACGUGCCAGCAGCCGCGGUAAUACGUAGGGUCCGAGCGUUGUCCGGAAUUACUGGGCGUAAAGAGCUUGUAGGCGGUUCGUCGCGUCGUUUGUGAAAACUUGGGGCUCAACCUUAAGCUUGCAGGCGAUACGGGCGGACUAGAGUACUUCAGGGGAGACUGGAAUUCCUGGUGUAGCGGUGAAAUGCGCAGAUAUCAGGAGGAACACCGGUGGCGAAGGCGGGUCUCUGGGAAGUAACUGACGCUGAGAAGCGAAAGCAUGGGUAGCAAACAGGAUUAGAUACCCUGGUAGUCCAUGCCGUAAACGGUGGGUACUAGGUGUGGGGCUCCUUCCACGGACUCCGUGCCGUAGCUAACGCAUUAAGUACCCCGCCUGGGGAGUACGGCCGCAAGGCUAAAACUCAAAGAAAUUGACGGGGGCC
rnacentral:rRNA from 1 species